UAUAAGUGUAGUUGUGGAUUUUCGUGUUUAACGUUUGACCACUCGUCUUAUUUAGAAAAAAAUACGACUAGUAUUUUUAUUGUUAUUAGAUGAUAAAACAUGAAUAAUAUUUUAUGUGUGACUAUUUUUUAUUUUUUUCAUAAAUUUAUUAAAUAAGACGAAUGGUUGGAUACAAAAAUUUACAACUACACUUAUA
rfam:Oryza meridionalis cultivar OR44 (W2112) chromosome 8, whole genome shotgun sequence.